CCAAACUUGGUCAUUUAGAGGAAGUAAAAGUCGUAACAAGGUUUCCGUAGGUGAACCUGCGGAAGGAUCAUUAAUGAAAUGCAGGGCGCUCUCUUUAGAGGCCCGACCUUUUCAUUUUCCUUACACUGUGAACCAAAUUUUUUUUACACCAUUUUUCAACGCAUGAGUCUAAGAAUGUUCCCAAGUCUCUUAAUUGAGCAUGAAAACUUGUAAAACUUUCGGCAACGGAUCUCUUGGCUCCCGCAUCGAUGAAGAACGCAGC
rnacentral:misc_RNA from 1 species